ACAGCCACAUCAAGUUGAAACACCAGUUCCCAUAUGAUAACUGAAGUUAAGCAGCAUCAAGCCUGGUCAGUAUGUUGAUAGGUGACUACUUGGUAAUACCAGGUGCUGUAAG